rnacentral:rRNA from 1 species
CAAGUAGCCGCGGGAAUACAGAGGGUGCGAGCGUUAAUCGGAUUUACUGGGCGUAAAGCGUGCGUAGGCGGCUUUUUAAGUCGGAUGUGAAAUCCCUGAGCUUAACUUAGGAAUUGCAUUCGAUACUGGGAAGCUAGAGUAUGGGAGAGGAUGGUAGAAUUCCAGGUGUAGCGGUGAAAUGCGUAGAGAUCUGGAGGAAUACCGAUGGCGAAGGCAGCCAUCUGGCCUAAUACUGACGCUGAGGUACGAAAGCAUGGGGAGCAAACAGGAUUAGAUACCCCGGUAGUCCCUGUCUCUUAUA